UCAAUGCCUGUCUAGUACGGCGAGUGAGCGGCAACAGCUCAAUUUGAAAGCUAGCCUUCGGGUUCGCAUUGUAAUUUGUAGAGGAUGCUUUGGGUAAAACGCCAGUCUAAGUUCCUUGGAACAGGACGUCAUAGAGGGUGAGAAUCCCGUAUGUGACUGGAAAUGUUAACCUAUGUAAAGCUCCUUCGACGAGUCGAGUUGUUUGGGAAUGCAGCUCUAAAUGGGAGGUAAAUUUCUUCUAAAGCUAAAUAUUGGCGAGAGACCGAUAGCGCACAAGUAGAGUGAUCGAAAGAUGAAAAGCACUUUGGAAAGAGAGUUAAAAAGCACGUGAAAUUGUUGAAAGGGAAGCGCUUGCAAUCAGACUUGUUUAAACUGUUCGGCCGGUCUUCUGACCGGUUUACUCAGUUUGGACAGGCCAGCAUCAGUUUCGGCGGCCGGAUAAAGGCUCUGGGAAUGUGGCCUCCACUUCGGUGGAGGUGUUAUAGCCCAGUGUGUAAUACGGCCAGCCGGGACUGAGGUCCGCGCUUCGGCUAGGAUGCUGGCGUAAUGGUUGUAAGCGACCCGUCUUGAACACCGGACAA
rnacentral:rRNA from 1 species